GUAACGAGCGCAACCCUUGUCCUUAGUUACCAGCACGUUAUGGUGGGCGACUCUAAGGAGACUGCCGGUGACAACCGGAGGAAGGUGGGGAUGACGUCAAGUCAUCAUGGCCCUUACGGCCUGGGCUACACACGUGCUACAAUGGUCGGUACAAAGGGUUGCCAAGCCGCGAGGUGGAGCUAAUCCCAUAAAACCGAUCGUAGUCCGGAUCGCAGUCUGCAACUCGACUGCGUGAAGUCGGAAUCGCUAGUAAUCGUGAAUCAGAAUGUCACGGUGAAUACGUUCCCGGGCCUU
rnacentral:rRNA from 1 species